GGAGUUGUGGCGCAAUUGGUUAGCGCACCGCCCUGUCACGGCGGUGGUUGCGGGUUCGAGCCCCGUCAACUCCGCCA
rnacentral:tRNA from 1 species